rnacentral:rRNA from 1 species
AGUGAACGCUGGCGGUAGGCCUAACACAUGCAAGUCGAACGGCAGCACAGUAAGAGCUUGCUCUUACGGGUGGCGAGUGGCGGACGGGUGAGGAAUACAUCGGAAUCUACUUUUUCGUGGGGGAUAAUGUAGGGAAACUUACGCUAAUACCGCAUACGACCUACGGGUGAAGGCAGGGGAUCUUCGGACCUUGCGCGAUUGAAUGAGCCGAUGUCGGAUUAGCUAGUUGGCGGGGUAAAGGCCCACCAAGGCGACGAUCCGUAGCUGGUCUGAGAGGAUGAUCAGCCACACUGGAACUGAGACACGGUCCAGACUCCUACGGGAGGCGGCAGUGGGGAAUAUUGGACAAUGGGCGCAAGCCUGAUCCAGCCAUACCGCGUGGGUGAAGAAGGCCUUCGGGUUGUAAAGCCCUUUUGUUGGGAAAGAAAAGCAGCAGGUUAAUACCCCGCUGUUCUGACGGUACCCAAAGAAUAAGCACCGGCUAACUUCGUG